UACCCGUGGUGUGGACUAUCUCUCUGAUAACCCUUAAAACGCACCCAAGCAGCCUUGAAACCCUUUGAGAUCCCUUGAGAAAAGGUAGAUAUCUAUUUUUUGCAGCU
rfam:Capsella rubella cultivar Monte Gargano unplaced genomic scaffold scaffold_6, whole genome shotgun sequence.